UACGGAGGGUGCGAGCGUUGUCCGGAAUCACUGGGCGUAAAGGGCGCGUAGGUGGCCUUGUAAGCGGGUGGUGAAAGUCCGGGGCUCAACCCCGGAUCUGCCAUGCGGACUGCGAGGCUCGAGCACUGUAGAGGCCGGUGGAAUUCCGGGUGUAGCGGUGGAAUGCGUAGAGAUCCGGAGGAACACCGAAAGCGAAGGCAGUCUCCUGGCAAGUUUCUGACGCUCAGGUGCGAAAGCUAGGGGAGCGAACAGG
rnacentral:rRNA from 1 species